CAAAAAAGACAAACAAAUUUACUCACUCACCUGUCUGCUUCCUCGAUGAUGGUACCAACAUUCCGGAGAACAGCCUGUGUGGGGAGAUAGAAGCUUUACAAGCAUACAUACAUAUGUUCACGCGCCUUGGCGGUAUUUUAUUCCUAGUUUUGCGAUCAGUUAAUCAAUCGCUCUUGAUUGCGUGCAUUGCGCGGGUGCCUCAAACAACAAAUAAAGUUGAAAAAAAAACCCAAAUGCUCUUGUAAUUUUAACUACCUGGUCUAAGUGACCAAGAAUUUGAUAAAAAAAGGAAGAAAGUGCCCUAAAGUGAAAUAAAAGCUAAUAAAAAAAAAACCAAGCAAUGAGCUUUCUUUCUACAAAUGAUUCCUCCUAUAAAAGUAAAUGCGUAAAACUAAUAAACGGAUAACAUAAUAAAGAGAAAACAAAAGUAAUAAUAAUAAUAAUGCAUGUAGAAAGGGAAUACUACUGGUGUGCUAAAUAAGGCAACAAAAAAAAAAAAACACAACAAAAAUCACCAAGUAGUGAAUAAAUGCUAACUAAAAAAAAAAAGGAAAUUGCUAGCUUAUAAUGUACAAAGGCUUAAAAGUUCAACGCAUAAGCUAACGGAAAAAAAGUAGGAAACGGAAUUGCAAAAAAAAAGGAAAAAAAAAAACUACUACUAAAAUACAAGGGGAAAUAUUGUGUUCGUAUAAAAAGUUCAACAGGCAACACUGCCGAUAUUUUCAUCGAUUGUUUUGUGGAAAUUCAUUGUCUUAUUACGCAAAUUCAAAGUCUCUUAUUCACAUUUCGUAUUAAAGAACUAGAGUUUUACAAGACGUAAAGUUUUGCAUAUUUACAAGUAAGUAUACCACACCAUAAAAGUGAAAGUGCAAAUAUUAAUAAAUUGUGCAAAUAUUAAUAAUUUGUGUGCCCGUCUACAUUCGCUGGUGCUGCGAUUUUUAUAUACUUCCAGGAUUCUAAUCUGAUCGCAGGUACAACUUUUUCCUUACCGCAAGCUCAACAUCAUCGCAGCGCAACCCACUUUUAGCGCAAGGCCUUUACAAUAUCGCACACCGUGUUCAAAAGAGUCACAACUCAAAUAAUAAGUUUGUAAGAAAAUGCGAAAAACUAUUUCUUAGCACAUGGUAA